UACGGAGGAUGCAAGCGUUAUCCGGAUUCAUUGGGUUUAAAGGGUGCGUAGGCGGAACGAUAAGUCAGUGGUGAAAUAUUGCAGCUUAACUGUAAAAAUGCCGUUGAUACUGUUGUUCUUGAGUACAGUUGAGGUGGGCGGAAUGUGUAAUGUAGCGGUGAAAUGCUUAGAUAUUACACAGAACACCGAUUGCGUAGGCAGCUCGCUAAACUGUUACUGACGCUGAGGCACGAAAGCGUGGGGAGCAAACAGG
rnacentral:rRNA from 1 species